AGCUGGCAGAGGAAGAGCCCAAUGUAUCUAUUGACACCUUUUUUUUUUGGCUUGAGCAGGGAUUUACAAUCCAUGGCCAUUAAAGCCCUGCACUGCAUGACGGUAUAGACCAUUAUGUAGCCCUUAAGUGGUUACAGAGUUACAUAGCUGAAAAGAGACUUGCGUCCAUCAAGUUCAGCCUUCCUCAUAUUUGUUUUUUGCUCUUGG